UACGAAGGGGGCUAGCGUUGCUCGGAAUCACUGGGCGUAGAGGGUGCGUAGGCGGGUCUUUAAGUCAGGGGUGAAAUCCUGGAGCUCAACUCCAGAACUGCCUUUGAUACUGAGGAUCUUGAGUACGGGAGAGGUGAGUGGAACUGCGAGUGUAGAGGGGAAAUUCGUAGAUAUUCGCAAGAACACCAGUGGCGAAGGCGGCUCACUGGCCCGUUACUGACGCUGAGGCACGAAAGCGUGGGGAGCAAACAGG
rnacentral:rRNA from 1 species